AUAUAUAUAGGUAUAUGAUGGUUCAUUGCCCCUCCGAACUCAUCCCCAAACCUAAACCCACGUAUCAAAUUGAAUCUCCGUGACGUCCGCACGCCGGGUCGGGUCCCACACGACUCGUCAUCGAACUCACCGGCACGAAACCGUCCAGGCGACUCGGCAGUCACGGGCCAUCUCGAGAUCCAUGGAGAAGAUGAUGGAAGGGGGAGCUGGAGAAUGCUAAGGGUUUUGAGUUUGCUGAGUUUUUUCGCCGGAUCUGAGGGUUUUUGAAGCUUUUGGGGGGUGAUCUUUAGCUUGGUGUUUCUAAUGACAAUGGAAGAUGCUUCAUCUAAUGCACCUCGGUUUAGAAGAAUACUGCUCCAAGCAUGGGCUUCAAACCCAGAGCUGGACCCUAUGCUAAAUGAAAACUUGGAACAGUGGCCACAUCUAAAUGAGUUGGUCCAGUGCUACAAGGCAGAUUGGGCGAAGGAUGAAAUCAAGUGAUGAUUUUCCUAAAUUUUAUGACAUCCUUAGUUCAUUGGAGGAUAUACUACUUUAUGUACUGGAGCUUGAGAUCCAUGUUUCGGGAAGAUGAAUUAAUCUGUUAAUCUUAAUUGCCUUGACCACUUGCAUCAGAAAUACACCUGGCCCGUUCUAGGCAUUCUAAAGUGGAAGAUGCUACUGAUGAUGACACUGCUAGUACCUCAGGAAGACAGAUAUCUGAAUUUGGUCCUGAUAAUUUAUCUACAAAACAUUGGAUUGAAGAUCACUGUGAAGGUGUUAUCCUUAUCAUUUCAAGCUGGAUUAGUCGAGCCCUUUUAUGGUACAAUUUGCUUAUAUAAUGAGAGGAGAGAAAAAUUGUCCGAGGACUUCUAUUUUCGUGUUCUACCAACAGAUACGUAACCACUAUUAUUCUAGAACGUCGAGGGGUUUUC